rnacentral:rRNA from 1 species
UACGUAGGGGCCGAGCGUUGUCCGGAGUUAUUGGGCGUAAAGCGCGCGCAGGCGGCUUCGCGCGUCCGACGUGAAAGCCCCCGGCUUAACCGGGGAGGGUCGUUGAGUACUGCGGAGCUUGAGGGCGGGAGAGGGUGGUGGAAUUCCCGGUGUAGUGGUGAAAUGCGUAGAGAUCGGGAGGAACACCUGUGGCGAAGGCGGCCACCUGGGCCGACCCUGACGCUGAGGCGCGAAGGCGUGGGGAGCGAACGGG